CGGGCAACGUUUAAACCUGCUUGUAAGAUUUAUUAUUGUUUUUUGUUUUUCAUUUUGAAACUCUUUUUUUUAUUUGCUCACGUGGGAAUUGACUUGUACAUAAUGACAGACCAAAGGACAUUUGGAAAACUUGUCUAGUAGCCGAACAUUUUGAUCAAAGCAAGUCUUUAGGUGUGGAGUACAAAGUGACUUCCUUAUUAAUUGGUGGAGAUCAAACUCUUCAGAUCCAUCAUGGAUCAACCACAAACACCUGGAGAUGACUGUUCUUUUCCAGGACACAGCUCAGUUCAUCAGAAGAGAUCAGAAGCAGAGCCCAGCUGUGUGUCUAUGAAGAGUGACAAGUCUAUGCAUGAACCAAUUAAGUUUAACAGUGGAGAUACACAGCCUGA